rnacentral:rRNA from 1 species
GACGAACGCUGGCGGCGUGCUUAACACAUGCAAGUCGAACGGUGAAGCUCCAGCUUGCUGGAGUGGAUCAGUGGCGAACGGGGGAGUAACACGUGAGCAACCUGCCCCUGACUCUGGAAUAAGCGCUGGAAACGGCGUCUAAUACUGGAUACGAGAAGGGUCCGCAUGGGCACUUUCUGGAAAGUUUUUCGGUUGGGGAUGGGCUCGCGGCCUAUCAGCUUGUUGGUGAGGUAAUGGCUCACCAAGGCGACGACGGGUAGCCGGCCUGAGAGGGCGACCGGGCACACUGGGACUGAGGGACGGCACAGACCGGUACGGGCGGCAGCAGUGGGGAAUAUUGCGCAGCGAGAGAAAGACUGAUGCAGAGACGCCGGGUGAGGAAUGACCGCAUUCGGGUUGUAAACAACUGUCAGCAGGGAAGAAGCGAGAGUGACGGUACCUGCAGAAGAAGCACCGGCUAACUACGUG